rnacentral:lncRNA from 1 species
GGCAACCAAGUGACGUCAACAACGUCGAGGAAACGUCAGUAUUUGGUGGAAUAUAUACACGUAGUUGAACAUUACGUCAUAUCGACGUCUUUUGUAGGUGAUUUUAAAUACGUAAGAUUAAUGACGUUAAAAUACGUUUAAAAGACGUUUUCAUUUCAGCCAGCCUAAGUCUGACGUCACGAAAUUGGGAGGAGCUUGGAGCUUAAAAGUUACAAAACUAGGGUUAUGUUUGUAAUCGUUGUCGUUUGUCGUUUCAUUUCAUUGUUUGUUUGUCCUAGUAUUUUGCCUUUUUUGGAUUCAUUUGGAUUUUGUUGGCUGUUUUGUGUGUAUUUUUUAAAACUUCUGUUUGUCAUUUGUAAAUUUUAUAAAUUUACCACAAUGCAAAGUGAUUAUUUAAGGAAAUUAUUAAUGGAAACUCCGCAGAUGUUUUAGAAAGAUAUUCAUUGAAGCUGAAAAUAAUUGGAGAUUUAGAUCCAUAUACAAUUCAGUCAUCAGAAUUGGAUUUUACAGUGCAUUCCUUCAAUUACUGUUAUAAUGCUAUUAUAGAUAGACUGCUAGAGUCUCACAGUUACUGCUUUAAGCAGCAGAUGAAAGCAUACAAAAGCCUUCAGGCACAUAAAAGCCUUCACAACUGGAUUUGUUUUGAAACAUUGAUGUUUUGAUGAUUUCUAUAUUAUUGUUGGAAAGGUGAAAAAUUCCCAAAAAGCUAAUGCUAAACCGCUAGAUGCUUCGGUGAAUAGCCAGUUCCAAUGGCAUAGCAAAUGCACAUUGUAUGUGUAUGGCCAGUAAUAGUGAAAUUUGCAGCCAUAUUGCAGCAAUCUUAUUUGCAGCUGAGUAUGCCCACAGCAAGACAGAAGAAGAAGAACCCAAUGCAUGUACAGAUGUUACAGCUAUGUACAUUCUCUGGUGAAAAACUAAUGAGUUUUCAAACUGUUCGGUCAGAGUGCUUGUUGUGCUCUCUAAACGAACUGAUAUAUAAGACGGCUUUGGCUUCAUGUUGCAGUGAUAUGAAAAUGGUGUCUGUGGAUCUUUUUGUAUGCAAAAAUUUGUAAUAAUUAUUUGAAAUCAUUUUGAGGAUUAUUAGAGUAUGGAAAUAUAUGUGAGAACACAUACUAUUAUAGUUUUGUCCUAUUUUUUAUCAUUCAAUAGUCUUCUUAAAAUUUAUAAAUAUAAAGCAGAUAGUUUUCAUUGAAAUUCAAUAUAUUGGGUCUUAUUUGUAUGUAUUCAUUUUUGACUAAAGGUACGAUUCCGAUAACGACUGCAGACAGCAACUGCAAACAUCAGUUGCAGUUCUCGGCGUUAUGGACGUUACUACUUUGCACUAUUUAUCUGUAUGAGACUUAUUCCGACAUCUGACUGCAACUGCUGUCUGGCAGAACGUCAGUUGCUAAUAAUUAUGCAAAUUAUUAGUGCAAAAUAAUGACGUCUGUCAUGGUGACAACUGUAACUGCCAUCUGCAGUCGUUGUCGGAAUCGUACCUUUAAAGUGUGUGGUAUAAUUAUAAUAAUUAUAUAUAUAUAUAUAUAUAUAUAUAUAUAUAUAUAUUAUAUAACUUAAAUGGUUUAAACUUAAGUUUGUUAUUACAUUGUGACUUAAAUGUUUAAUUUGUUAAUAAAUGAUUUAUUAGUUUA